rnacentral:rRNA from 1 species
CAAUAGCGUAUAUUAAAGUUGUUGCAGUUAAAAAGCUCGUAGUUGGAUUUCGGAUGGGAUUUGCCGGUCCGUCGUUACGAUGUGCACUGGCCAGUCCUAUCUUGUUGUCGGGGACUAGCUCCUUGGAUUCACUUCCUGGGACUAGGAGCUGACGAGGUUACUUUGAGUAAAUUAGAGUGUUCAAAGCAAGCCUACGCUCUGAAUACAUUAGCAUGGAAUAACACGAUAGGACUCUGGCUUAUCUUGUUGGUCUGUGAGACCAGAGUAAUGAUUAAGAGGGACAGUCGGGGACAUUCGUAUUUCAUUGUCAGAGGUGAAAUUCUUGGAUUUAUGAAAGACGAACUUCUGCGAAAGCAUUUGUCAAGGAUGUUUUCAUUA